UCUUCUCACAGAUGGAUUUUAAUUGAUACACAAUGGAGCGCGUUACAAAUGACAGGUGUUCCUCGGUAAUAAUUAAAGUCGCACAAAAACAGUCCCAACGGGGUGGAGCCCGCUUGCAGCUACACUGAAGGAUAUGCUUAUGUGCUCCACAUUACAGCAGAGUGCGUCUGAAGGAUGAAUAGCAGUGGACCAGCAUACCCAUUAGCCUCUCUUUAUGUCGGUGACCUUCAUCCUGAUAUCACCGAGGCCAUGCUGUACCAGAAGUUUUCUCCUGCUGGUCAGAUCAUGUCCAUCCGUGUGUGCCGUGAUGUCAUUACACGGAGAUCCCUAGGAUAUGCUUACAUCAAUUUCCAGCAGCCUGCUGAUGCGGAAUGUGCUCUUGACACAAUGAACUAUGAAGUCAUCAAGGGUCGUCCAAUCAGGAUCAUGUGGUCACAGCGAGAUCCAGGUCUGAGAAAGUCUGGUGUGGGAAACAUCUUCAUCAAGAACAUGGAUGAGUCUAUUGACAACAAGGCUCUCUAUGACACCUUUUCUGCCUUUGGUAACAUCUUGUCAUGCAAGGUGGUUUGUGAUGAGAAUGGCUCAAAAGGUUAUGGGUUUGUGCACUUUGAGACUCAAGAAGCAGCCAACAGAGCCAUUGAGACCAUGAAUGGCAUGCUUCUGAAUGAUCGCAAAGUUUUUGUAGGGCAUUUUAAGUCUCGCAAGGAGCGUGAGGCCGAGUUUGGCGCUAAAGCCAUGGAGUUCACCAAUGUGUAUAUUAAGAACUUCAGUGAAGAUAUUGACCGUGAGAAACUGAAGGGCAUCUUCUCUGAAUUUGGUAAGACCCUUAGCGUGUGUGUGAUGACGGAUGAAAGCGGACAGUCUCGUGGCUUUGGAUUUGUCAACUUUGAAAGCCACGGAGAUGCAAGGAGGGCAGUAACUGAGAUGAACGGCAAAGAGCUGAAUGGCAGAGUACUGUAUGUGGGCAGAGCUCAGAAAAGACUGGAGAGGCAGGGAGAACUCAAGCGCAAGUUUGAGCAAAUAAAGCAGGAGCGCAUACAACGCUACCAGGGAGUAAAUCUCUAUGUGAAAAAUCUAGAUGACAGCAUUGAUGAUGAGAAGCUGAGGAAAGAGUUUGCUCCUUAUGGAACCAUCACCAGUGCAAAGGUGAUGACAGAUGGAGGCCACAGUAGAGGCUUUGGCUUUGUGUGUUUUUCCUCUCCCGAAGAGGCCACGAAGGCAGUGACUGAGAUGAAUGGCCGUAUCGUUAGCACUAAACCACUAUAUGUGGCUCUUGCCCAGAGAAAAGAGGAGCGAAAGGCUAUCCUCACCAAUCAGUACAUGCAGAGAUUAGCCAGCAUUCGUGCCAUUCCCAGCCCUGCCAUACCCACCACCUACCAGCAGAGCUCUGGCUACUACAUGACCUCUGUUCCGCAACAUCAGGUUCGCUCUUUUUACAAUACUGUACCAAACCUGCGGCCUGUGCCACGCUGGACCACUCAGGCUCCUAGAACUCAAGCUCCAUUCACAGCUCAGUUUGUAAGACAAGCAGUGCCCCGCAGGCCCUCCACCACCAUCAGCACAGUCCGCCAGGCCUCCACUCAGGUUCCUCACAUUGUUCACAACACCCAGCGAAUGGCCAACAUUGGCACGCAGACUGCAGGUGGGAGAACUGCAGGAGCGGGGGCUGUAGUCAGAGGAGUCAGUCAAUACAAGUACUCAGCAGGUGUCCGAAAUGUGCAGCAGGUCAUCAGUGCUCCAGCUCCUGUCGUCCACCAGAGGAGGAGAUUUCUCUUGUGGCAGAUGGAGGCACUGUAGCCUCUAAAUUUACAAAAGAAUUUAAAUCUAAAACAAAGGUCUGUGGGUGCUUCGGUUUACACUUUGGUUCACAAUGGUCUUUCACGAGUCACUAGACUGACGUUGGGGGAUGGGAACUGCAGUGCUGGGGCAGGAGAACAGAUCACAUGACCUGAAUGCGUCAACACUGAGAGCCAAUCCUGUUGUCGAGAGGGGCCCCUUAUCUCGCAGGCUUGCCUGUUUCUUGGCAGAAAAACAUAAACGACACAAAAUAUGUAGCUUAAAUUGUCAGAAAUGAAUGUGGAUAGUGACAUAUAUAUGUUGCAACACAUCAAAUGUGCUUGUAUUGUCCUGGUAAAUGACAAAAUCAUGGUUUAACCACUCACCAUCUUCGAGAAAACUUUACCGGAGACACUGCUAUACAUACCAGACGUCUAGGCUACCUGUUUGUGCUUGCUUCGGCAGCACAUAUACUAAAAUUGGAACGAUACAGAGAAGAUUAGCAUGGCCCCUGCGCAAAAGAUCCUGGCCAAUCUUCUCUGUUGGGCCCCCUGUGGCUACCUGGGCACCUGUGGCCCGCCCAUUUACCUGGGUAUAAUUGUUGUGGCCCCACAGUUUGAAUUAUUGACAGCUUGCACCUAAGCACUAUCUGAGAUGGCAAAACAACAGAGAUGGCCUCCUGUUCUUUCAGAAAGAGAGCAGGUACGGCGGAAGAAAUUCCGCCAGAGGCUUUCAGAGGACCUAGACAACACCGCUUUUCGGGUCCAGAGGGCAGAUGCUGAAAAAGAAAAAAAAAGAGCAAUGAAAUUUCGCAAACCUCAUUGGCCUCCAGUGAUUUCUUCGGAGGAAAGUGAAAAGAGGAGACUGUUCCGGGAAAGACUGGAGAGAAAGGCUUCCCUCCAAGCCACACCAUCCACUAGACAGUCUAAGAAAGGUCUGCGGAGAGAUUCUUCUCUGCAAGCCACACCAUCCACUAGACAGUCUAAGAAAGGUCUGCGGAGAGAGUCUUCCCUCCAAGUCACACCAUCCACAAGACAGUCUAAGAAAGGUCUGCGGAGAGAUUCUUCUCUGCAAGCCACACCAUCCACUAGACAGUCUAAGAAAGGUCUGCGGAGAGAGUCUUCCCUCCAAGUCACACCAUCCACAAGACAGUCUAAGAAAGGUCUGCGGAGAGAGUCUUCUCUGCAAGCCAACCCAUUCACCAGUCCGCAGUGGCCUCCAGUGAUUUCUUCGGAGGAAAGUGACAGGAGGAGACGGUUCCGGAGAAGAUUGGAGAGAAGGUCUUCUCUCCAAGCCACCCCAUCCACCAGUCAGCAGUGGCCUCCAGUGCUAAAAAACGUCAGAGUAUCAGUUCCGACAUGCGCAUCACUGGCUGUGCUCCCUCCUCCAUCGGCUGUAUCUGCUGCAGCCCUUAAGAGGGUACCAAGGGCCACAGCCUGGAGACGGAAAAAGAGGGCCGAAGAGGACAAAAAGGCCCUAAAGCAACAAAAAGGCAUUCCACGGAGAGCAGAUCCAAAAGGAUAUCCUUGUAGACUGUGUGGACAGCCAAAGAGACUGGAGUUUGGACACAGUUUCUUUAGGGGGAAAAGUUUCUGUGCCACUGCAGCUGGAAGGACUGUAUCGCAAUGGCUUUCUGAUCAGAGGAGGAUUGCAGCUGCAGACAACUAUGACAACGUGCCUCGGACAACUGCUUGGAGGAAGAAAAAGAAAGAGGAAGAAAUUGCACAGGGCCUGCCUCAGAAAAGGCCAAAGAAAUGCAAACCGCUGACUUGCUCUCUGUGUCAGCAGCCCAAAACCAAGGACUAUGGUCACUCACGCUACGGUGGCAAAUCGUUUUGUAGCAGUUACGAGGGCAAGACUGUGGAACUUUGGCUGGCAGAGCAGCGGUCUCUUGCUCCCCCGUAAAUAAUUGCCACUGAUUUUUUUUUUACAUUUUAAUGUUAAUUUUAGUGCAGUGUUUGUUUGUUU